UGAACGCUGGCGGCGUGCCUAACACAUGCAAGUCGUGCGAGAACGUGGCUUCGGCCACUAGUACAGCGGCGGACGGGUGAGUAACACGUGGGCAAUCUGCCUGGAAGCGGGGGAUAACCUGGGGAAACUCGGGCUAAUACCGCAUAUCUUGUCGAGGCUACGGCCUCGUUAAGAAAGCUGGCCACUACAUGUAAGCUGGCACUUCCAGAGGAGCCCGCGCCCGAUUAGCUUGUUGGUGGGGUAAUGGCCCACCAAGGCUUCGAUCGGUAGCCGGCCUGAGAGGGUGAUCGGCCACACUGGGACUGAGACACGGCCCAGACUCCUACGGGAGGCAGCAGUGGGGAAUAUUGGACAAUGGGCGAAAGCCUGAUCCAGCAACGCCGCGUGGGGGACGAAGGCCUUCGGGUCGUAAACUCCUGUCAGUAGGGAAGAAUGGCCCUCGUUCAAUAGGCGAGGGUCUUGACGGUACCUGCAGAGGAAGCCCCGGCUAACUCC
rnacentral:rRNA from 1 species